rnacentral:lncRNA from 1 species
CAAAAAGUAACGUUACAGCAGAAUGAAAGCCAAUAAAAGUGAGUUCUAAGCACCUUGGGGCUGGAAUAAAGGCUGGCACUCAAAAGGAACCUAGGAUAGGGUCUAGAAUAGAUUAGAAAAGCAAGAAAAACUCAAAAACAAUAGAAGAAAACCGUUUGCAGUGAAACUGUUUGAUGAAAUUUCCAAAUUGUUUGUUGAAAUGCCACAAAGAAAGACCAAUUUUCUGGCUGCUGUUUUUUGGAUUUUAGAGUUGGAUUGCAGGGGCCAUAUUUGCUUUUUAUCUUUGAUUUAUACUUGGAUAACCAUUUAAAAGUACUAGAAACAAGAAUCCCCUAGCUUUUGCAAAUCAAAAGUGAAAAUGAAAUUGUGAAAUGUGCAAACAGCAAGGAAUAUUAAGCUACAGCAGAAAAUGUGGCUGGAAAAAAAAGUGGACAACAGCAUCCAAAAUGAGUUUCAGUGAUGCAAAUGAUUAAAUAACACUUCACAGCAAUUUGUAUGAU